rnacentral:tRNA from 1 species
GCGCCAGUAGCUCAGUAGGAUAGAGCAACGGAUUUCUAAUCCGUAGGUCAGGGGUUCGAAUCCCUUCUGGCGUGCCA